UCCUUAGAUGUCCUGGGCCGCACGCGCGCUACACUGAGUGUCUGAGAUACGAGUCUGCCUGGUCCGGCAAGGUCUAGGUAAUCGCUAAAAGACACAUCAUGCUUGGGAUAGAUUAUUGCAAAUAUUAAUCUUGAACGAGGAAUUCCUAGUAAGCGCAAGUCAACAGCUUGCGUUGAUUACGUCCCUGCCCUUUGUACACACCGCCCGUCGCUACUACUGAUUGGAUGUUUAAGCGAGGUUCUCGAACUGCUAGCGACUUAGCUUCGGUGAGGUCGCAGUGUGGGGAGUGAACCUAGCUUUGGUGUCUAGAGGAAGUAAAAGUCGUAACA
rnacentral:rRNA from 1 species